AUUGAACGCUGGCGGCAGGCCUAACACAUGCAAGUCGAGCGGAUGAAGGGAGCUUGCUUCUGGAUUCAGCGGCGGACGGGUGAGUAAUGCCUAGGAAUCUGCCUGGUAGUGGGGGAUAACGUCCGGAAACGGGCGCUAAUACUGCAUACGUCCUGAGGGAGAAAGUGGGGGAUCUUCGGACCUUACGCUAUCAGAUGAGCCUAGGUCGGAUUAGCUAGUUGGUGGGGUAAAGGCCUACCAAGGCGACGAUCCGUAACUGGUCUGAGAGGAUGAUCAGUCACACUAGAACUGGGACACGGUCCAGACUCCUGCGGGAGGCAGCAGUGGGGAAUAUUGGACAAUGGGCGAAAGCCUGAUCCAGCCAUGCCGCGUGUGUGAAGAAGGUCUUCGGAUUGUAAAGCACUUUAAGUUGGGAGGAAGGGCAGUAAGUUAAUACCUUGCUGUUUUGACGUUACCAACAGAAUAAGCACCGGCUAACUUCGUG
rnacentral:rRNA from 1 species